ACUAUUUUUAUACGAUUGAAUGAUUUAUUGAUAUUUUAAAGUGAUGUUACAGUAAUACGGCUCUUCAGGUGAGCAUUAGCCACUUUCUGUUCACGACGAAAACUAAUAUUUCGCGAGCAUUAAUAGUCGGUUACCUAAAUGGUUACGCAACGUAGGGUAAAGGAGUACCUCGACUCUAUUCCUCAAAUGCCUGUUCGUUUUCUAUAAAAGCACUCUCCAGGCACUUGGGCAACCGGCGACGAGGAAACAGCGAUGAUGGAGGUACACGAGACGAGAGGAGAGACCCGCAGGAGACGUCGACGAAGAAGAGGCUCGGUCGUAAGUGUAUCAUCCAGUAAGGAGGCGUUAAGAUUGAUUCGCACUAUCUGAAGUACUGUGCUUUAUUUGCGACGAGUGCCAAAACGUCAAUGCGAAAGUGCCUAGUGCAAAUAAAGCUCCGACAUACCCCUCCGAGCGAGCCCUCUCCUCUUUGCCAUUUCAUCUUCCGAUAGAGGAACCUCAGAGUAUGUUAUGUGCUCGUGGAUUUGCGGCAAGCUUUGAUGAUGAUUCAGUACUUUUGUAAAAUGAAGGCCUAAUUUUGUUCAUUAAUAAUGUUGAUGCGAAAGUUACAGUUGAUGUUGUGAACAUCGUAUUGUAUGCAAAACGUGUAUUAUAUGUUGCGUUUUCGUCAAAGACAAUGUAUAAUUUGCUUGUAUAUUAAUAAAGAGAUCCCUUUCUUUA